AUUGAACGCUGGCGGCAUGCUUUACACAUGCAAGUCGAACGGCAGCGCGGGCUUCGGCCUGGCGGCGAGUGGCGAACGGGUGAGUAAUGCAUCGGAACGUGCCCAGUAGUGGGGGAUAGCCCGGCGAAAGCCGGAUUAAUACCGCAUACGACCUGAGGGUGAAAGCGGGGGACCGAAAGGCCUCGCGCUAUUGGAGCGGCCGAUGUCGGAUUAGCUAGUUGGUGGGGUAAAGGCUUACCAAGGCGACGAUCCGUAGCUGGUCUGAGAGGACGACCAGCCACACUGGGACUGAGACACGGCCCAGACUCCUACGGGAGGCAGCAGUGGGGAAUUUUGGACAAAGGGGGCAACCCUGAUCCAGCCAUGCCGCGGGCGGGAAGAAGGCCUUCGGGUUGUAAACCGCUUUUGGUCGGGAAGAAAUCCUCUGGGCUAAUACCCCGGGGGGAUGACGGUACCGGAAGAAUAAGCACCGGCUAACUACGUG
rnacentral:rRNA from 1 species